rnacentral:rRNA from 1 species
GUGGGGAAUCUUAGACAAUGGGCGCAAGCCUGAUCUAGCCAUGCCGCGUGAUCGAUGAAGGCCUUAGGGUUGUAAAGAUCUUUCAGUGGGGAAGAUAAUGACUGUACCCACAGAAGAAGCCCCGGCUAACUCCGUGCCAGCAGCCGCGGUAAUACGGAGGGGGCUAGCGUUGUUCGGAAUUACUGGGCGUAAAGCGCACGUAGGCGGAACAGAAAGUCAGAGGUGAAAUCCCAGGGCUCAACCUUGGAACUGCCUUUGAAACUCCUGUUCUUGAGUGCGAGAGAGGUGAGUGGAAUUCCGAGUGUAGAGGUGAAAUUCGUAGAGAUUCGGAGGAACACCAGUGGCGAAGGCGGCUCACUGGCUCGAUACUGACGCUGAGGUGCGAAAGCGUGGGGAGCAAACAGGAUUAGAUACCCUUGUAGUCC